rnacentral:tRNA from 1 species
GCCGAUGUAGCUCAGUUGGUCAGAGCAGCUGAUUUGUAAUCAGCUGGUCGGGGGUUCGAAUCCCUCCAUCGGCUCAA